rnacentral:rRNA from 1 species
AUUGAACGCUGGCGGAAUGCUUUACACAUGCAAGUCGAACGGUAACAGGUCUUCGGAUGCUGACGAGUGGCGAACGGGUGAGUAAUAUAUCGGAACGUGCCCAGUCGUGGGGGAUAACGUAGCGAAAGUUACGCUAAUACCGCAUACGAUCUAAGGAUGAAAGCGGGGGAUCGCAAGACCUCGCGCGAUUGGAGCGGCCGAUAUCAGAUUAGGUAGUUGGUGGGGUAAAGGCUCACCAAGCCAACGAUCUGUAGCUGGUCUGAGAGGACGACCAGCCACACUGGAACUGAGACACGGUCCAGACUCCUACGGGAGGCAGCAGUGGGGAAUUUUGGACAAUGGACGCAAGUCUGAUCCAGCCAUUCCGCGUGCAGGAUGAAGGCCCUCGGGUUGUAAACUGCUUUUGUACGGAACGAAAAGGUCUCUCUUAAUACGGGGGGCUCAUGACGGUACCGUAAGAAUAAGCACCGGCUAACUACGUG